UGAAUGAAAGCUUGCUUUCAUUCGGUUAGCAGCGGACGGGUGAGUAACACGUGGGCAACCUGCCCGUAAGACCGGGAUAACUUCGGGAAACCGGAGCUAAUACCGGAUAACACCGAAGAUCGCAUGAUCUUUGGUUGAAAGGCGGCUUUGGCUGUCACUUACGGAUGGGCCCGCGGCGCAUUAGCUAGUUGGUGAGGUAACGGCUCACCAAGGCGACGAUGCGUAGCCGACCUGAGAGGGUGAUCGGCCACACUGGGACUGAGACACGGCCCAGGCUUCUACGGGAGGCAGCAGUAGGGAAUCUUCCGCAAUGGACGAAAGUCUGACGGAGCAACGCCGCGUGAGCGAAGAAGGUCUUCGGAUUGUAAAGCUCUGUUGUUAGGGAAGAACAAGUACCGCUCGAAGAGGGCGGUACCGUGACGGUACCUAACGAGAAAGCCACGGCUAACUACGUGCCAGCAGCCGCGGUAAUACGUAGGUGGCAAGCGUUGUCCGGAAUUAUUGGGCGUAAAGCGCGCGCAGGCGGUUCCUUAAGUCUGAUGUGAAAGCCCACGGCUCAACCGUGGAGGGUCAUUGGAAACUGGGGGACUUGAGUGCAGAAGAGGAGAGCGGAAUUCCACGUGUAGCGGUGAAAUGCGUAGAGAUGUGGA
rnacentral:rRNA from 1 species